CCUACGGGUGGCAGCAGUGAGGAAUAUUGGUCAAUGGGCGCGAGCCUGAACCCGCCAAGUCGCGUGAGGGAAGACGGUCCUAUGGAUUGUAAACCUCUUUUGUCGGGGAGCAAAAGACGCCACGCGUGGCGUUCCGAGAGUACCCGAAGAAAAAGCAUCGGCUAACUCCGUGCCCGCAGCCGCGGUAAUACGGAGGAUGCGAGCGUUAUCCGGAUUUAUUGGGUUUAAAGGGGGCGCAGGCGGAAGAUCAAGUCAGCGGUAAAAUUGAGCGGCUAAACCUCUUAGCGCCGUUGAAACUGGUGGUGUUGAGUGAGUGAGAGGUAGGCGGAAUGCGUGGUGUAGCGGUGAAAUGCAUAGAUAUUACGCAGAACUCCGAUUGAGAAGGCAGCAUACCGGCGCUCAACUGACGCUCAUGCACGAAAGUGUGGGUAUCGAACAGGAUUAGAUACCCCGGUAGUC
rnacentral:rRNA from 1 species